rnacentral:rRNA from 1 species
ACGAACGCUGGCGGCGUGCUUCACCCCUGCCAGUCGCACGGAAAGGCCCUGCUUUUGUGGGGUGCUCGAGUGGCGAACGGGUGAGUAACACGUGAGUAACCUGCCCUUGACUUUGGGAUAACUUCAGGAAACUGGGGCUAAUACCGGAUAGGAGCUCCUGCUGCAUGGUGGGGGUUGGAAAGUUUCGGCGGUUGGGGAUGGACUCGCGGCUUAUCAGCUUGUUGGUGGGGUAGUGGCUUACCAAGGCUUUGACGGGUAGCCGGCCUGAGAGGGUGACCGGCCACAUUGGGACUGAGAUACGGCCCAGACUCCUACGGGAGGCAGCAGUGGGGAAUAUUGCACAAUGGGCGGAAGCCUGAUGCAGCAACGCCGCGUGCGGGAUGACGGCCUUCGGGUUGUAAACCGCUUUCGCCUGUGACGAAGCGUGAGUGACGGUAAUGGGGAAAGAAGCACCGGCUAACUACGU